GCGCAUUCAGCGGGGCGUGCGCAGUGUGCGCAGUGUGCGCAGUGUGCGUAGCGCGCUGCGUGCGCGGCGUUCCUAGGGCGCGGCCGGUGCCCCGCCUGGAGCUGUUUGUUUGUGCCGCUGCGGCGGCGCGGCGCGGCACGGGAGCGGAGCGGAGCGGAGCGGAGCCCGGCCGGGCUCGGCGCUGCUGCGGUCGCCAUGUUGAGGCGCAGCAAGGCCGAGGUGGAGCGCUGUGUCGCCUCCGUGCAGGCCUCUGCGGCUUCUCGGAGAGAGAAAUCGUUGAAAGGAUUCCAGUUCGCUAAGCUGUAUUUUGAAGUAAAGGAGUAUGAACUUGCUAAAAGGUAUAUAUCUACAUACCUCAGUGUGCAAAAGAGAGAUGCGAGAGCACACAGAUUUCUUGGACAAAUUUAUGAAGCUGAGGACAACAUAGAAAAAGCUUUUGGAUGUUACAGGUGUGCGUGCAUGGGGAAAACUAGCGUUCUGUGGAGUUGAACCCAAUGCAGAAAGAUCUAGUACUGAAGAUAGCGGAGUUACUGUGCAAUAAUGCCGUCACUGAUGAAAGAGCAAAAUACUGGGUUGAAAAAUCUGCUAAGUUGUUUCCUGGAAGCCCUGCUGUUUACAAGUUGAAGAUAACACCUUACCAUCCCAUUUGGGUAAAAGUCAGAGUAAUAGCGAACUGCAAGUCGCCCGUCAGAAUCUCCAGGUAGGAACUGUAAUGGCCUCAGACAUUUUGUAAUGAUCAGUAAUGUUACAAAGAUUCUCACUUUUGACAGAGAAUUCAGAAAUUACUAACUAUAUCACUGUCAUCAUCCACCUCUUCCCCUAAAUUAGUUCACUGACUUGGUAAUGACAUGGGUAGUGGUUAGAUCAGAUAUUUGCUCUGCUGAAGGGAGUUUGAACACAGUGCUAUUAUUCCAAGAGUUGUGUCUUGUGAUGCGGUGUUGGCAUGGAGAGAAACACCUGCAAGCACUGCUUUUCCUGACAGCACCUGAAACUAUGCUCUUCACUCUGGGCAUUCAAGAGCACUUGCCCUCUUGACUUGAUCUUCUGUGAAGACCAUCCCUUCUGCCUUUACUUUUCUGCUGCUGGUGACUCCCAAUAGUUUAUCCACCAGCAGGCUUGGGCCACUAACUAAAGAGCUCCCAAACCUGCAUUGGUUUUAUUCUGUAACAGCUUCUGUGCUUCUGCUAGAUUUCCUGCUGGGACUGUCUUUUGCACCAUCCAAGAUGAAAAGAAUUGUGCGUAUCUUUUUUCUCACCACUUUCCUAGAGGUGCUUUCCACUAACUGAAGAAACAAUACAGCAAUCUAGUGUUUAGGGCACUGGACUCUUUUGUCUUACAGAUAAUAGCAUUAUCCAAAACUUCUGGAAACAAAAUCCUACUUUUAAUUGUCUAUGCUGUUACUUGAACAGCCAUGCAGAGUUGAAUUCUGCAUUUUGGAAGGCCAAGCAGUCCUGCCGCAAAUCCAAUUGAAUGUAGAUGGCCAUUAGGAUACUUCUAAUUAGUCAGCUAUUGUGUAACACUAUAAUUAAAAACAAAACCUAAGCAUAUCUGCAGAGGAAAGAAUUCUAGUUCACUAUAAAUCGGUAAUUUCAUGUGUUUCGAAGGCGUUUCAACAUUUUUUUUCCUUGGUAUAGAGGGAGCGUUCAGCACAGGAGAAAUAUGCACUGGAACUUGAGAGACGAGAACGUGCUCUAGUUGAGCGAGAAGAAUUGCUUCACAGAUGUGAAGCAGCUUUCGCUGCAAUAAAAGAUGCUGAUGAAGACGUUUAGGCAGUACUUGGAACUAUGAAAAAAGUACAAUAACUUACUUAGUGAUUCUUAUUGCUCCCCAUACAUUUUAACUUGCUUGUAGUUUUCUUAAGCCAUCAUAUGUUUGCUGGAUAUAAUGCUUAUUUCUUUAAAGUGUUUGAAACCCCCAAAUGAAAGAUUUAGCAUAAAAAGUGCCAAACUGUUGUUAGUGAGUUUGGUGUGGUUUCCAGUUCAGAAUGGUGCAAUGAAUUGUGGGAUGUGUAGGUACAGAUUACUGUUGAAAUUUGGGAAAACUAGAUUAAAAUGAAGCAGUUAACCACUGGGUUAGAGAGGUCAGUAAGACUGGUGCUUCCAGUAUUUGCAGGUCUUCGGAACAGACUAGACAAACAUUUGGCAGGAAUGAAGUGAUGCACUUUAUUAUGAUACAGAUGGUACCCGAUUUGAUAAUGGAAUUGGAUGGUUUAGACAUCCUGGCACCACCUACAACAGCCCUGUGGUCUGUGAAAUUAUUGCCAAAUCCCUGAAGAACUGUGAAAUUAUUGUCAAAACCCCAAAUAUGCAAGCCUUAUAAAGCAUUGUGUAAUGUGGUUU